GCCAGGUUUGGUGGAACAUGCCUGAAAUCUCUGCUACUGGGAGGCCGAGGCUUAUGGUUUAAUUGGGCUCCGGGGUUCUGAGCUGCAACAGGGUGAAAGCUAUUAUGAUGUCUGCAUUCAGUCCAGCACCAAGAUAAUACACCUCCAGGAUCUUGGGGUCACUAGGUUGUGGUCAGAGGAGUGAAAUGGCCCAGACCGGGAACGGAGCAGGUCAAAGUUUCUGUGCUGGUCGGUAGUAGAAUCAGCCCAGGAGUUGCUACAGAACUUCCAGCAAGGCCCAGAUAGAGACACCCAGUCUCAA
rnacentral:SRP_RNA from 1 species